UAAAGUCCACAGAGGUGAAGUGCCAUUCUUUUUCAUUUUUAAUUUUUAUGUGUACAUACAUAGUGGGUGUAUAUAUUUAUAAAGUACAUGAUCAUGUUUGAUACAGGCAUACAAUGCAUAGUAAUUGCAUCAGGGUAAACAAAGUAUCUGUCACCUCAAGCAUUUACCAUUUAUUUGUGUUACAAACAAAUUAUACUAUUAGUUAUUUUUUAAAUGUACAAUAAAUUAUUUUUGACUAUAGUCUCCCUGUCAUGCUAUUAAAUACUAGUUCUUAUUCAUUCUAACUCUAUUUUUAUACCCGUUAACCAUCUCUACUUCUCCCCAACCACGCUGUGCUUCCCCCGACCCCCGCACUACUGUACCCUUCCCAGUGUCUGGUAACCAUCAUUUUACUCUCUAUCUCCAUGAGUCCAGUUGUUUUAAUUUUUAGCUUCCACAAAUAAGUGAGAACACGUAAACUUUGUCUUUCUGUGCCUGGGCUGAUUUCACUUAAUAUAAUGACCUCUAGUUCCAUCCACGGUGUUGCAAAUAUCAGAAUCUGGUUCUACGGAUGAAAAAUACUCCAUUGUGUAUAUACACCAUAUUUUCUUUAUCCAUUUGUCUGUUGAUGGAUCAUUUUCAGCACAGCACAUCAGGGAUUACAUGGUAUCAACAUGACUUCUUACCAGUGAUAUUAAACUUGACCACUUGUUUAAGGUAGUGUUUGCCAGUGUACUCCAUUGUAAAGAAAAUACUAUAUUUGUUUGUUUCUUUCUAUAUUCUAUUUUUUGGAUGUGAGUCACAAAGUCUAUCCCAUACUUGACAUGGAGUGGGGGGUGAUAUUAGCUACUACCUCAUGCAGGGGGAGGUUACCAGAAUAUAGGAUUUUAAACAUUGCUUUUAGGAUGAAUUGAACUUUCUCUCCAUUUGCUGCUGAAUAUUUUUAUAUCAGUAUGAAUUCAUACAUUUUUAUGCUAUUCUUUGAGUUACACUAUACUAUUGGUUUUUUUUUAAUUUUUUGCUCAAUUUUUUUCCAGG
rnacentral:lncRNA from 10 species